rnacentral:rRNA from 1 species
ACUACCGGGGUAUCUAAUCCCGUUCGCUACCCUAGCUUUCGUGCCUCACGUCAGAAAAGAUCCAGUGAUGCGCUUUCGCCACCGGUGUUCCCUAUGAUAUCAACGCAUUCACCGCUCCACCAUAAGUUCCCAUCACCCCUAUCUUCCUCGAGCUUGGGGGUUUGAAACGCAAUUCCACGGUUGAGCCGUGGGCUUUCACAUCUCACCUACCAAGCCGCCUACGCACGCUUUAAGCCCAGUGAUACCGAAAACGUUUGGACGGUUCGUCUUACCGCGGCUGCUGGCACGAACUUAGCCCGUCCUUCCUCUGAAGAUCGGUCAACCAUGAAGAUAACUCUCAUGGACUUCCUAACUACUGACAGCGGUUUACAACCCGAGGGCCUUCUCCCGCAGCGGCGUCCUCGGUCAACUUUCUCCUUGCCGAAAUCCUCACUGCCCCGGGCGGGGGCGGCGGGCCGG